CUCUACGGCCACGCUAACCUGAACAAGCCUGAUCUCGUCUGAUCUCGGAAGCUAAGCAGGGUCGGGCCUGUUUAGUACCUGGAUAGGAGACCACCUAGGAAGACCAGGCGUUGUAGGCG
rnacentral:rRNA from 1 species